rnacentral:sRNA from 1 species
UGGCUACUAAGACGGUUCGGAGUUGAAAAGAAGCUCUUCAGCAUUCUACUUCCCUCAUUCGGAACCUCAAAGGGGGUUACUCUUCCUGACUACUGGGAAUCGUGAACUGGAGUGUACAAAAAGGGUUGGAAGAUCAUUCUUCAGAGGAUUCUCCUUAUAACACUUCUACAUGGUGUGAUUCCUGACACCGCAUAUUGCUCUUUGCUUGAAACAUGUUUCACAAUUGUCCGUUUUUCUGUUGCCAGAAGACCCAAGAAACCAUGUGCACCACACCUCUGCUACUCAGAGUGUAAAGUUUGAUAAAUGUCUACAAUGACAAAGAUCUUACCCCCAACCGCG